CUUUUUUUCAGUAUCCAAUGCAUUCUGGGAUGUGAGAAUGAAGCGCAAUGGCGGCGAAACUGAAUCACUUGCAACUUUUUUUGUGGUCUGUUAUUUCCUUACAGCAAUAUUGCUACAAAUUAGUCUAACGUUUGCUACAGAGUUAACGUGUGACGACAACAUUUUAUAUUGUCCUUGCAUGGGUCGAUUUGGAAACCAAGCCGACUACUUUCUGGGGUCUUUGACAUUCGCAAAAAUGCUGAGUUGCACAAUGGCAGUGUGCCGCCACCACGCUCCUCCAGAAUCAAAUGUAGUUAGUUAGUUAGUUAGUUCUUCCAGCUAGAGGCCCUGACUCACUCCCACUGCGUGGUAAGCCUAGAUGACUUGAUGAAGCAACUGGCCCCAACACUGGCCUAAGGGCAGCCUACUUAGUCAGCUGCACAGAGGAGUGUAAAGACAAGAAGUCCUGCCCCAUGAAGGUGAAGGUGGUGAGCUUCAAGCCAGACUUGGCCCAGAUGGACUUGUACAUCAUAAGCCAGCCUGACCACUUCGUUGGGGAUCGUGUGUCCUCCUCCUUCCUGCUUUUGUCAAACAAGACCGUGAUGUCCAUGCCCGGCCGUCGUCUUUCUUCGGGAAGGGACUAAGCUGGAAAAUGUAACAAGCAAGACGAGCUGUGAAGAUUUUGCCCUUCCUGGGGAGUCCAUGACAAAUUGCUUUUAGAAUGGCUUUUUAAUCUUGGGUGAGGAGGAGGACAUUGCAGUGUAGGAAUGUGAUCCAUACUCACUAUUACAGUGAUGUAGUGAUAAAAAUGUUUUUUAGUCAACUCUGAUCACCGCUCGCGGUAAAUAAAGUAAAGCUCCCAUUUUGUUUCCUCUAAACCCUUACGCAAAAUAAUGCAUGUGUGUUUACCCUCCACAACACCACUGCUAUUAAACAAGCAGUAGCAUCAUUACACACGCUGUAUACAUGACAUUAUUAUACUCUUCAUAGCAUCAACAAUCCAGGCUGCAUCACAUCCGGCAAUGAUUGGUAGUCCCAUAGGGCGGCGCCCAAUUGGCCCAGCGUCGCCUGGGGUUUGCCAGGGUAGGCCGUCAUUGUAAAUAAGAAUUUGUUCUUAACUGAUUUUCCUAGUUAAAUAGAGGUUCAAUAAAAAAAAAAGUUCAAUUUCCGCAAUAACUUCUAUGCUGCACAACGCAUCACCGGGGGCAAACUACCUGCCCUCCAGGACACCUACACCACCCGAUGUCACAGGAAGGCCAUAAAGAUCAUCAAGGACAACAACCACCCGAGCCACUGC